AUGAGAGCUCCAUCCGGCAUGGAUAGCGAAGAAGACACCUCUUUAGACCAUCAGCACAUGGCUGUUGAUCUCACUCCUGCCGGCAUGGAUACGCUCUCUAACAGAUCAAACAAAGGCAUCACCGAGCUAUCAGAUUGUUCUAAUCCUGGCUGUGGUGUUGUUGAUUCAAUCACAGCGAAUCCAGAGUUCUCAGAACUGCAUUCUGGAAGAUCGGCACCUAAGCGGAAAAGUAAACGGGAAGCGUUUGAAGGAAUGGACUACAGAAUUGCCCCUGCAGUAAAAAGUCCGUUCCAGAAGUGUGUGGAGCGCGCUGCUUUUAGGGACGAUGCAGAUGUGUUCGUUCCAAGUGUUGGAACAAUCUUUGAUUCAAAGGAUGAAGCCUACGAUUUCUACAACAUGUUCUCUUGGGAGUGUGGUUUUGGUAUGCGCUAUGGAAAGAGUAGCACUAAUAACAAAAAUUACAGAACAAUGCAGGACAUCGCUUGCCAGGGUGCGGGCAAAGAAGAAAGGCCCAACACAACAACAUGCCGCACUGGUUGUGAAGCUCGUAUAAGACUACAUCGAACUGACGACCAUGGAUGGUAUGUGACCGUUUUCAUUAACAAGCACAAUCACCCACUAUCUGUGAAGUGUGGCGAGAAAAAACAGUGGAAAUCACAUAGCGUUAUAAGUCCUUUAGCAAAGGAUUUUAUUCGUAACCUCAGGGAGAACAACAUCAGGUUUGACCAGAUAUACAACAUAUUAGGGUCAGGUCUUGGCUCUUCUCUAGGCGUGCCUUUUAGGAAGCAGACAUUGAGAACUCUGUGUGCAACCAUAGCUCAUGAUUCCAUCGCUGAUGAUAUGGCCAAAACCACUAGUAUACUUCAGGAUAUGAGUGCCACAGAUCCGGACUUCAAAGUUUGUGUGCAAGUAGACGGUGAAAGCAGGGUGAAAACAGUAAUAUGGUGUAAUGGUAAAAAUCGGCUGGAUUAUGCACAUUUCGGUGAUGUGGUUACUUUUGACACCACUUACAGGACCAACCUAUAUAACAUGCCAUUUGGGCUUUUUGUUGGUGUCAAUAACCAUUUCCAGUCUAUUAUUUUUGGCGGCGUCCCCAUGGUUGAUGAAAAGACUCCCACAUUUGAAUGGGCAUUCAGAAACUUUAUUGACUUGAUGGACGGGAAACAUCCUACUACUAUAUUGACAGAUCAAUGCAAAGCUAUGCAAAAUGCUUUACGAAGUACAAUGCCCCACACCCGUCAUAGGUGGUGCAGAUGGCAUGUGUUAAAGGUCUUGAAAGAGAAAAUUGGACACGUGUACAACAAACAUUCUGCCUUCAAGAAGGAAUUCCACGCGAUAGUAAAUGAAGAGACGGAUGUAGAAUCAUUUGAGCGAAAGUGGCAUCAAUUGAUUAAAAAAUACAAACUUCAAGGAAACAAGUACCUUCGCAGGAUUUUCAAGUGGAGGGACAUGUGGGCAAUGCCAUACUUCAUGGGCACAUUCUGUGCCGGGAUGACCAGCACGCAACGGAGCGAGAGUGCGAAUCAUCUCCUCAAAAAGUUCAUCAGCAGAUCAUCCCCAAUGCACUUGUUUGUUAAGCAGUACAACAAAUUGCUUGAUUCCAGGAGCCAGGCAGAAGACGAGGCAAAUUAUGUCAGCAAGCAGACACGGCUUGUAAUUGGCGCUACUAUCGAGAUAGAUGCAGCGGCUGUGUACACGAAGGCCUUGUACAAAAAAUUUUCACACGAACUUUUUAGAUCAGGCUCAUUUGAUGCACGCCGUUCCAAGCCUGGACACGUCUACAAGGUCAAAUUGUCGCCGCAACUAGCCUUAACUGAUUAUGACAAAAAGGUAUUCACCGUCAAAGUGGAAGACGGUGGGGACUUUGUCACAUGUGAUUGUGGAUUUUUUGAUCAUGUCGGCCUGUUGUGCUGCCAUUCAUUAAAGGUAUUAGUUUAG
rnacentral:rRNA from 1 species